ACCUUCGAGGAGGCCACAAAUCACCAUUUUUGCUGUUGAUAAACUGGAACGACGCCUGAAAGUAUUUAGCGCUAAUCCGUGUUCGACUUUAAUUUGAUUGUGUGGAAUAUGUUAUUGAUUGAUGGGUUUCGAUUACCUUUGCAUAAAAUUUCUUUAGCGUGAAUGCCAUCGGUGGUGUGUUCGUUUCGUGCUCCAACGUGGGGUCCAUUUGGAUUUGCCUUUUCAUUGAUCUACUGUGAAUAUUUAUAGAUUAUUUGUUUAUUUGAGGUCGAAUAAUUACGGUUUUGUUAGAGUUUUUGAAUUUUGAAAACAGGUUUAGGCGAUGGUCGUGGAUGAUUCUUAUUUUUGUGACUAUGGCGUGAAGUGUUUCUUUUGUUUCAAAGCCGAAAUAUGUAAAAUAUAGGUUUAAAAAUAUUGUAAAUAUCUGAUGGAAAAGUUUCAUUUUUACCGUGUUACUCUUUACGUUGGGUUUUAACGACUUUUUUUUCUGUAAUAUAGGUUUGCUUUGGAGUAACACCCUUGGAUUAGAUGAGCAAGCUACUUAUGGAUGUGAUGUUUGUGGCAGUCGUACAUUUUCAAGGAUGCUUCUAAUGAGCUGUUUGAAAAAUACAUAGGACAUGAUGUUUACAGUGGUUUCCAAUAAAACUUCAUAAAUGAACAUGGAGAGGAUAAAUGGAACAGGUGAAGAAAAAAAGAAGGCCAAACCCCAUUUACGUUUCUUUCUUUUGGCUUUGGAAUGGGCCAUUUGUGGAAAGGGUAAAAAAAUCUUUAGGUUAUCAUUCAAGGAAAAAGGAGGCCAAAAAUAAUGGGUACUCAAAACAUGGAAAUGUGGAGUCCCAUUAAUACUCGCUCCAUCUGGACAUGAAUGGUGCAAUUUUUAGAAAAUACAUGGACUCCGAUUUGUAAAUGUGGUAUAAUCCUCGUCAGAGGCACUUUUUUGUUGUCAACGAUUAUUAAUAAAACUCCAUCAGUAAUCACUAACAUUACAGGUAAGCUAUUUUAAAUCUUCAUUGAUUAAUUAAUUGCAUCAUGUUUCUCAUCGGUUGUCAUCUAUUCUCCACAGCAUAAACUAACGUUAUCGUGCAUCUAUGAGUUUUAGUUUAUGAUCUGUGGUCGUUGUUCAUUUGAACUAUUAUCUCUAUUGUUCAAAGCAUAACUUAACUAUCAUGCAUCUACGGUUAUUUCUAUUGCCAUUGCCUUUAGCAUUUAUCUAUGUAUCAUGUCAUUAUUAAAAGUAACACCAUUUUGUAGUUUAUGUAUUUUACUUUGUUUUAGGUGAUUUUU